CAAGAUGGCGCUGCGGGCGAUGCGGGGGAUUGUCAACGGGGCCGCACCCGAGCUACCCGUGCCCACCGGUGGGCCGACGGUGGGAGCUCGGGAGCAGGCGCUGGCAGUCAGUCGGAACUACCUCUCCCAGCCUCGCCUCACAUACAAGACAGUAUCUGGAGUCAAUGGUCCACUAGUGAUCUUAGAUCAUGUUAAGUUUCCCAGGUAUGCUGAAAUUGUCCAUUUGACCUUACCAGAUGGCACAAAGAGAAGUGGGCAAGUUCUGGAAGUUAGUGGUUCCAAGGCAGUAGUUCAGGUAUUUGAAGGGACUUCAGGUAUAGAUGCUAAGAAAACGUCCUGUGAGUUUACUGGGGAUAUUCUCCGAACACCAGUGUCUGAGGAUAUGCUUGGUCGGGUAUUCAAUGGAUCGGGAAAACCCAUUGACAGAGGUCCUGUUGUACUGGCCGAAGACUUCCUUGAUAUCAUGGGUCAGCCAAUCAACCCUCAAUGUCGGAUCUACCCAGAGGAAAUGAUUCAGACCGGCAUUUCGGCCAUCGAUGGGAUGAACAGUAUUGCUAGGGGGCAGAAAAUUCCUAUCUUCUCUGCUGCUGGGCUACCACACAAUGAGAUUGCAGCUCAGAUCUGUCGCCAGGCUGGCUUGGUAAAGAAAUCCAAAGAUGUAGUGGACUACAGUGAGGAAAAUUUUGCAAUUGUGUUUGCUGCUAUGGGUGUAAACAUGGAAACUGCCCGGUUCUUCAAAUCUGACUUUGAAGAAAAUGGCUCAAUGGACAAUGUCUGCCUCUUUUUGAACUUGGCUAAUGACCCAACCAUUGAGCGAAUUAUCACUCCUCGCCUGGCUCUAACCACAGCUGAGUUUCUGGCGUACCAGUGUGAGAAACAUGUGUUGGUUAUCCUAACAGACAUGAGUUCUUAUGCUGAAGCACUUCGAGAGGUUAGUUGUUCAUGUUUUUCCCUCGGUUAAACAAAAUUGGUUAAUUUUCAGGAUUAACUUGUCGCUUUGCAAGUUUUCAUUCUUUAUAGUUUUUUGAUUCCACUGUUCAUAUAUUAAUAGAAAGCCUUAAUAAAUCAGAAGGGAAAAUACUUCCCUUUUUGUCAACUUGGUAGAAGUGAUUAGAGGAUAAGAUUUAAAUGGUUAUCCUGUUUAUCAUACUGUCACUAUCUCCGUGGAUUAAGAAAUGAUUGUAAAAGGGAGUAAAUAAUUCAAGCUGUUUAUUCAGUUACUCUUCCGGAAGUUCUGUUUCUGUCCAGACUAUUAAUUUUUAAACCUUUUUGUAAUUCCAUUUUUAAUGAUGUUAAUAUUUUAUAAAGACCCUACUCUCACAGUACUCUCUUCAGCACUUUUUUCUUCAGAAAACCCAGUGUUUAUUUAGGAACAAUAUUAAGAUUCUAGCAGGCUGGGCACGGUAGCUCAUUCCUGUAAUCCCAGCACUUUGGGAAGCCAAGGCAGGAGGGUCGCUUGGGAUCAGGAGUUCAAGACCAGCCUGGGUAACAUAGCAAGACCCUGUCUCCACAAAAAAUUUAAGAUAUUGGCUGAGCGUAGUGGCACACACACUUGUAAUCCUAGUUACUCAGGAGGCUGAGGUGAGAGGAUAGCUUGAGUCCAGGAAUUCGAGGCUGCGGUGAGCUAUGAUUGUGCCACUGCACUCCAGUCUGGGUGACAGAUCGAGACCUGUCUCUUAAAGAAAGAUUAUAACAGUUACCCCUAGAAGUUUUAGGGUAUUUGUUCUAAUACUAGUUACUGAAAUUUUGAGUAAGUUACUUUUUUAAGCACAUAAAAAGACUUCUGAAGAGACAGGCUUCUUAAAAUUCCCUCAGUGCCCUCACCAUAUCUUACUCUGCUAUAUUGCUGUUUCAGACUAACUCUAGUCAAGGACUAGUUUUUCUCCCCCAUCUGUCACAGACUGAUAAUUUUGUAAAAUGCAAUAAAAAUGAGUUAUUAGAAAAGUGAAAUUUUAACUAUAUAUAUAAUUUACCAAUGCAGAUUUUAAAACUGUUAGAUUCAACAGGCAUAAAAUUAUUCUGCCAAAUUGCCCUGAAAGUUUCUAAAUGCUUAUCUUGCUUUCUGUGUGAUCAUUGCAUGUUGAUAACAGUUGGUCUGCAGACUGCACUGUGAGGAGCACUGCUGUAGCACGCUCCUUUGAAGAUGCCAGAGUAGCACUUAGAAGUUGCAUUUCAUAAUGCUUUAGGGUUCUAGUUGAUUGUAGGUUUACAUGCACGCCUAUAGUCUGGUAUCCAUGUCUCUAAGGUAAAGAUCAUUUAUCACCAUUCUUAUUUUGUGCAGUGGAAUGGACUCCUGACUUUGUGACCUUCAGAAAUUGUUUAAUUUUUCUGACCCUUGAUUCCAACUGUAAAUUGGAGGUAACACCUUCCUCAUAGGGUUGCUGUGAGGAUUAAGUUAAAUAAUGUUGUAAAGCGCGGCAGAUGAUUCCUGGUGUACAUUUCCUUCCCUUUUGACCUUUUUGGGAUUAGGUUAGAUAAAUAUGGCUAGUUCCACCAGGUGGAAUAAAUCUUGUGAACCAAGAAUCUUUUCUGUUUUGAAAUUAACUUCCUUUGAUUUAUAAAAUUGCAAACAGAUUUUCUUGUAGCACACUAUUUGAAAACUUACAUUAUGGCAAUAUGAUUUUGGCAAAAACCUUCUGUGCCGCAUUGUCAACAUUUUUGUUACAGAAUACUUUGAAUUUAUGUUGCCGGGAGAUUUUUCUAAAUCAUUCUUAAGGACAGUAUUUAAAAUGAACAUGAUGGGAUUUUCAACUUUGUACUUUGGCAUGUUCAAACAAACAUGUUCUAAGCAAGCUUGUUAUAAUAUGGCACGUGAUGCUCUUCUCCUUGAACUGCUAUCAGGUUUCAGCAGCCAGGGAAGAGGUUCCUGGUCGACGAGGUUUUCCAGGUUACAUGUAUACAGAUUUAGCCACGAUAUAUGAACGCGCUGGGCGAGUGGAAGGGAGAAACGGCUCGAUUACUCAAAUCCCUAUUCUAACCAUGCCUAAUGAUGGUAAGUUUUGGUAUUUGGAUUAUAACACACCUAAUCAUUUUAAGGAGAGAGAAGACCCAUCUACCUUUUCGAGUUGAAGUUAUUUUGAGAACACAUCCCCUAAGAGUUUAUCUUGGUUAUUUGCCUAAAUAAAACAUUUUUCAUUUGAAAAUUACCCAUAGUUAUUAUCCUAUUGUGGAGCAAAAGCAAUUUUCUUCAUAAUUUAAGUUUUUAACUUUAUUAGGUACUAUUGAGUGCCUGCUGUUUGCAGGACACUGUUCUAAAUGUAAAGAAUUUUUGAAAAGAAUUUGUGUUCUCUACUUAAUGUAAGUUACUCAGUCUAAUUGGGGAUGUUUUUUAUGUGUGUGCACCAGUAAUUUAAGAUGGCCAUGUUCAGUGCCACAUGAGGAGUACAAGUGGAAAACUCCCCAAAACUUAGAGACAGAUUUUUUAACCAAGGGCUGGUUAAAAAUGACUUUCCAAUGCCUGUCUGCGUGUGUGCCCAGGGUGGCUCAUGGGGUAUGACUGUUCAGAAUUCCUCUCCUGUGUUGCCUUUUUGUCCUUAUUUCAGUUUUUCAACAACACUUUUACAAAAUACGGUAAGUUAUUAUUUACUGUAACUGAGCACUGUUCUGAGUGCUUUAUAAAUAUUCACUCAUUUGCUCCUCAUAGCAACUUUAAGGCAGAUGCUGUUUUAGGCACAGGGAGGUAAAAUGAUUUGUUGAGAUUAGCAAGUGAUAGAUUUAGGACCCAGUUUGACUUCAUAACUCACACUGUUACUCUGUACUGCCUCUGACGUGAAAAUUAUUUGUUCCAAGGGAGUAGCUACAAAAUGAUGUAAUUUAACAGAUUUGGAAAUGUGUUGCUUUGUGGGACCUUUUUGGUGCAGCCUGUGUAGUGUUGUUUACUUGUCUGUAUGCCUGCGUUUUGUGUGGUGAAAUGUUGUGUAUCCAUCCGACAUAGCUUAUGAACUAAGAAUGUUCUCAGUAUACAUCAGGUUGGCAAAUUUCUAUAAGGGAACUUUGGGUUUAAAAUGAAACUUUACUUAUAUUGAGAGGGGAGAGCGCUUACCUAGGGGAGAGAGUAUUUUUUAUUAAUGCAGCCAGUUUACCUCAUAGAGCCCAACACACAUCUAACUGCUGCAACCAAACUAAACUGGCCAGUAUGGUUGCCGCUAGCCACAUUUGGCUGUUUAAGUUCAAGUUAACUAAAAUAAUUGAAAUUAAGUUUUUCAGUUUUGUUAGCCACGUUUCAAGUGUUAGAUAGCCACAUUUGGCUAAUGGCUACCGUACUGCACAGCACAGACACAGCACAUUUGCAGCAUCACAGAAAAUGACUCUAAGAACGCUCUUCUAAGUAAUGUUAUAGGUAGUACAGAGGGACUUCAUGUGGGUUUGGUUCUGAGAGAUGGCCACCUUAAAACUGAUAACCUAAAGAUGCCAUGCUUAAUGCCGACUGUCUUCCUCCGGUAGAUAUCACUCACCCCAUCCCAGACUUGACUGGCUACAUUACAGAGGGGCAGAUCUAUGUGGACAGACAGCUGCACAACAGACAGGUACUGGACGUGAGCAGUGCUGUGAAGCUUGCAGACCUGCUCAUCCGUUAUUCUUUAGUGAUUUGGAUUUUGCUCUUAGGAAUUGCUUUACUUAGAAAGUAUCAACUGGAAUUGUUUUUAAUAUGGUUAUAAAAUUGUCAUUUCUAUUAUCUUAAAUUCUGGUGUCGGCAGAAUGCUAGAAUUAAGAAUUUUCUCAACACUUUUCUUUAUUGUGUCUUAAAACGGAGUCACUUAUCUCCAAGAACUUUUUUGGGAAUUCUAUUCCAUAAUGGUAUCAUCUACCAAUCUUGUUAUUAAUAGAAAAAAAUGACUUUUCCAUGCUUCUCUAGUAGAUGCUGACUUCUAAAAUCAGCUGUUAGGAAUUAUUGUUAUUUUUAUUGUGUGUAUAAUUGUUUAAGUCAGAGUUCAGAAGACCAUUUUGACUCGAUAAUGUGGUAGUACUUACCAAACAGAUGUUGAAAGUUGAGUUUUUUAAAAUAGUCUUGUGCAGUGUUGCAGAUGAGGCUUUUCUGGAUUUGAUUCUGGAAGGAAGUGCUGUGCUGUGACGCUUUUCUGGAUUUGAUUCUGGAAGGAAGUGCUGUGCUGUACAGUGUUUUUACCACCUUUUCUCGCCAGGAGGAGACAGUAGGGUUCAUCUAGGAGACAAAUGCAGCAGCUUUCUGGGAUUUAAGUUGUAAUAAUGAGUUUCGAAUGUUUUUUUAUUACCAGCAAAACUUGAGUUUUGUACUUAAAUAUAGUAUUUUUUCCCUUCUCAUUCUACCCAAGAUUUAUCCACCUAUCAAUGUGCUGCCCUCACUAUCACGGUUAAUGAAGUCUGCUAUUGGAGAAGGGAUGACCAGGAAGGAUCAUGCCGAUGUAUCUAACCAGCUGUAUGCGUGCUAUGCUAUUGGGAAGGAUGUACAAGCCAUGAAAGCUGUUGUUGGAGAAGAAGCCCUUACCUCAGAUGAUCUUCUCUACUUGGAAUUUCUGCAGAAGUUUGAGAGGAACUUCAUUGCUCAGGGUCCUUACGAAAAUCGCACUGUCUUUGAGACUUUGGACAUUGGCUGGCAGCUACUCCGAAUCUUCCCCAAAGAAAUGCUGAAGAGAAUCCCUCAGAGCACCCUCAGCGAAUUUUACCCUCGAGACUCUGCAAAGCAUUAGCUGCUGCUUCCGCAUUGCUCCGCGCUCUUGUGAAAUACUGGUUCUGUUUUCUUUAUUCCUUUUGCGCUCCCCAGUUCCCACCUUUGUGUUGGAGUUUACCACGUUACCCUGUAAUUAAAAACAAAGAAUAGGUAACAUAUUGUGCCAGUGUUGCAACGUUUUAAACUGCUAACAGACCCUAAAAUAUCCCCCUACCUGGGUCCUCAGUGCUAUGUUUAAAGUGCUGCAGGGAUGGAGUGGCGUUUUCUUAUUGCUGUAUGUAUUGUACAUAGUGGAGUAGUUAGUUACCUGAUAACGGUCUCAUUAUUUGGGUCUCUUAGACCUUACCUCUCAACUCCCUCAAGAGUACCAGUCUCUGAAGUUAUAAUGCUUUGGUCUCUACAUUAGGGGCAAGAUCCAGUCUGAAAGAAGUCUCCUUUGAGAAGGGCCAAGAUGCUCUUUGCUGAGUGUUUGCUUUCGGUUUGUUGGUGUGCCUGUAUUGCUGGGCUGUGCUGCUGCUCGAAGCAGAUGGUUUUGACUGUCUACUUGCUCUUUCCUAUAUAAUGAAUAGAUGAGUGAAAGGAGUUUUCUUUUUCUCUUUAGUACUUAUGUAUUGGGAUUCCUGUGUCUUACAGCUCUCCGUCUCCAGAUAAUACACAGAAUCCUGCAACUUUUUGCACAGUUGGUAUCUUCUGGUAGCAGUGAGGCCCCUUGUCUUGGUGAUCCUUACUGGGUUUCCAAGCAGAGGAGUCAUGUGAUUACAAUCGCCAAUAGAGUUGUUGUUUGGGGUACGAGAUGAGAAGAAAGAAAAACCUACAGCCUUUCUACAUUCUGACAUGCUAACAGUGGUUUAAGUUUCUAAAGUGUUUACCAGAUGCUGAAGGCAAGGAGGGGAGCAGAAGCACUUAUGUUUACGGAUAUUUUAAACUGUGUUAGAGAGCAGCCUUUGAAAAUCCCCAGUUUGGUUCUGCUUUUUGACCUCUCUCUACCUUUUUAGGGUAAUCUUUGUGGCACAAACGAUAGCAUUUCCAAGCUUUAGAGUUUUCUGAAUUCCUGCGCCUUCCUGACGUGAGCCCUGAGCGAUCUUCUAUGCAGUUCUGCCAUGUGUCCUGUUGGUCUCGUGUUCUUUGUUACUUAGGUGCAAUAGCAACUUCCCUACUCCGUGCAUUCCAUCUUUCAUGUUGUGUAAAGUUCUUCACUUUUUUCUUUGAGGGGUGGGGGUGGGGGGAGUCAGCAUGAUUAUAUUUUAAUGUAGAAAAUGUGACAUCUGGAUAUAAAAUGAAAAUAAAUGUUAAAUUAAAUGG
rnacentral:sRNA from 1 species